rnacentral:rRNA from 1 species
UACGUAGGGUGCAAGCGUUGUCCGGAAUUAUUGGGCGUAAAGAGCGUGUAGGCGGCCCGACAAGUCCGCUGUGAAAGUCCAGGGCUCAACCCUGGAAUGCCGGUGGAUACUGUCGGGCUAGAGUCCGGAAGGGGCGAGUGGAAUUCCUGGUGUAGCGGUGAAAUGCGCAGAUAUCAGGAGAAACACCAAUGGCGAAGGCAGCUCGCUGGGACGUGACUGACGCUGAGACGCGAAAGCGUGGGGAGCAAACAGG